AUUGAACGCUGGCGGCAUGCCUUACACAUGCAAGUCGAACGGCAGCACGGGAGCAAUCCUGGUGGCGAGUGGCGAACGGGUGAGUAAUGUAUCGGAACGUGCCCAUUCGGGGGGGAUAACGUAGCGAAAGCUACGCUAAUACCGCAUACGAUCUAUGGAUGAAAGCGGGGGAUCGCAAGACCUCGCGCGAUUGGAGCGGCCGAUAUCAGAUUAGGUAGUUGGUGGGGUAAAGGCUCACCAAGCCGACGAUCUGUAGCUGGUCUGAGAGGACGACCAGCCACACUGGGACUGAGACACGGCCCAGACUCCUACGGGAGGCAGCAGUGGGGAAUUUUGGACAAUGGGCGCAAGCCUGAUCCAGCAAUGCCGCGUGCAGGAUGAAGGCCUUCGGGUUGUAAACUGCUUUUGUACGGAACGAAACGGCGAGCUCUAAUACAGUUUGCUAAUGACGGUACCGUAAGAAUAAGCACCGGCUAACUACGUGCCAGCAGCCGCGGUAA
rnacentral:rRNA from 1 species